rnacentral:rRNA from 1 species
UACGUAGGGCGCAAGCGUUGUCCGGAAUUAUUGGGCGUAAAGAGCUCGUAGGCGGUUCGUCGCGUCUGCUGUGAAAGCCCGGGGCUCAACCCCGGGUCUGCAGUGGGUACGGGCAGACUAGAGUGCAGUAGGGGAGACUGGAAUUCCUGGUGUAGCGGUGAAAUGCGCAGAUAUCAGGAGGAACACCGAUGGCGAAGGCAGGUCUCUGGGCUGUAACUGACGCUGAGGAGCGAAAGCAUGGGGAGCGAACAGG